CUGCCCUCAAGCCCGGCUUGUGUGUUGGGCCCCGUCCUCCGAUCCCGGGGGACGGGCCCGAAAGGCAGCGGCGGCACCGCGUCCGGUCCUCGAGCGUAUGGGGCUCUGUCACCCGCUCUGUAGGCCCGGCCGGCGCCUGCCGAUCAACCCAAAUUUUUAUCCAGG
rnacentral:misc_RNA from 1 species